AUACGCAGGUGGCGAGCGUUGUUCGGAUUUAUUGGGCGUAAAGGGUCCGCAGGGGGCUGAUUAAGUCUGGUGUGAAAUCUUCCGGCUCAACCGGAAAACUGCAUUGGAUACUGAUCAGCUGGAGCAUCGGAGAGGAGAAUGGAGUUCCUGGAGUAGUGGUAAAAUGCGUAGAUAUCAGGAGGAACACCUAAAGCGAAGGCAGUUCUCUGGACGAUUGCUGACCCUCAGGGACGAAAGCGUGGGUAGCAAACAGGAUUAGAUACCCUGGUAGUCCACGCCCUAAACGUUGUGAACUUGAUGUGGGGGGAUUUAACCCCCUCUGUGUCGAAGCUAACGCGAUAAGUUCACCGCCUGGGGACUACGGUCGCAAGACUAAA
rnacentral:rRNA from 1 species